rnacentral:lncRNA from 1 species
UAUGCUACCGCUACUACAAUACCUCGCUCCUCUGUCGAUGUGGGAAUUAUGCAGCACAGCGCUCAGCUCACGACUCGUGGUUUUAUUUGAACGGUCAACCUACAAAAGCAUUCGUACGUGUCCAUGAUUCCAUCACAUUUUUCAUUUCCUCUGGUCCCCUUCAGGUUAAAUCCACUUGUACCUUUUGCUUGUUUUAUCUUUAUCCCCAUCAAAAUCCUCAUCUGUUUUCACAUCAGCUCCCCAGACUAAUGAGAAACGUUGUAAUCUGCCACUAAGGCAUUCAUUUUGAACAGUGAUGAUGGUUGCUCAAGUGUAUUUCAUUCAGUUUGAAUAAACUCUGAGCUUGCUAGUUCUUUGUUCAAACUCCAUACCAUACCAGGUAGCAAUAGGUUGUGUUUGAGUUCAUCAUUUAUAUAUGCGUCAUGUUUGAACUCAAAGUUGAUCAACAUGCAAAACUCUAAGCUUGCCAGUCCCUUUUACAAACUCUAUACCUUAAUGGGUAGCAUGGGUCACGUUAAAGUUUGCCGUUUACAUCCAUGUUGUGUUUGUGUCAAUACAUUCUUAAAAAAUAUAUAAAAAAAGCCGUCAUUUAUUGAUGUAAUAAUUUAAUUGUGUACACAACCUGUUUUAAAUUCAUGCAGAGAGUUGUGUAACGUGUCGUGUCCAAAUUUAUCACCUCUAACUUAAAAAUGAAAUGAACUUAUUUGCACGAAAGUGGAACUGAAUUUCUUCAAUCUUAUGAAAUUACCCACAUGUAGUCUAUAUAUAGAGCUGAUUUUCCACAAAAAUGAAACUGAAUUUCUUCAAAAUUAAAAUACUCAUAGAUCUACACAUAUAUGGCAACAUUGCACGAAAAUGGAAGGCCAACUCAGCAAAAAGUGCCACGUAGCCAAAAUUUCAAAUACGUGAACUUUAUUGUUCACUCAGUUGUGAUUGAUGAAUUUUUAUGAUACAUAAUUUGAUAUGUUUUUAUAAAAAAAUAUUUUUUAAAUGUUUAACAGUGAUUACAAAAUUGAGCAAUUAUGAUUGCUACAUGUGUACAAUGAAAAAUCGUUUGACAACUUAGCCAACAAGGAGGUGCACUUAAGUAUCGUUCUAAGAUAAAUUUCUCAUGCUUUUCAAACUUAAUAGACUUGUAGCAGUUCAAAUUCAUUUCAGAAUUUAUUAGGCAAGUCAAAAAUACCAAAGAUCUAACUGUACGAAUAUGUAGAUCAAAAUUCAGUCAUAAAAUUAAACAUAUAUCUAUUUGUGUUGUGAUUUGCCGCUUCAAUUAGAGAAAGUCCACCCCUAAAAAUGUGCUGGCACCCAGUCCAUUUAAUCCACUCAAAUGCAUAGUAAUUGACCCCAAUGAAUAGUAAUUGGCCAAAUGCACCUCCAUCUCUAAAAAACGCGUUGGCACCUAGCCUAGUCAAUUUGUAUUAAAAUAUUAUUAAUUUUUUUAUAAAUAAUAAAAAAAUAAUUUUAUUUAUAAUUUCGGAUAAGAUUUUUAACCAAUCUUGUCACGCCACGUGUCAUUAUCCGAAAGUACUAUUUUUGUGGAUAGAUUUCCGAUAAGAUUUUGUGUGACGACCCGUCCCAAUUUUAAUUAUAAUUUUCUCCUCGAGUAUGUGAGAUGACGAUAAUGCCCUCGUGGUUUAGUGACGUGGAUGUACAUAUUCAUAUUUAAAUUGAUUGACUUGCUGAUGUAAUUAAAUUGUACUAGACGUCACGAGCGUGUUGACGCGAAUUAGGGUCGAAUCGGUUUUCUAACAGAAAAGUUACGACAAUUAAAGAACGAGAAUGGAUGGAAAUAUUUUAGGGUGGAUUAUAUCUAUUCUUAUCCACCAAUCACCUUAAUUCCUACUUUAUUGGGCCCAAUCAGAUUUUGGGUUUGAUUUCAUUUUUCUAUGGGCCACUUAACAUAACUCUCUCUCUCUCUUCCUCACGGCAGCCCAAUCAGAGCUUGUGGUCAUCUUCUUCUGACCAAUCCCGUGCACACAAACACAAACACCCACACGCGUACGCAUCCUUCUUCUCUCCCUCACCUUCUCGACCUUUCCUCAUAUGUACACUGUAGCACCCAUACACGCAAUCAUCACAAAAACGUCACAGAUCGAGCUUUUGGAAAUCACCAUCACACUCAUCUCAAGCUCUCGAACCUAACCAUACCCAUAGGUUUUAGUUUUGGUGAGAUUUAGGAAUUGUUUCAUGAACUCCGGCACGGUGGGAAUUUGAGACUUAUGAAUCGCGGGCGAUUCACAAGGUUUUAAGGCUCUAGGAAGCUCUUAUUCAACUUCUUAAAGACCCUAGACUAGCUUUGGGACAAAGUUGACGUCGGGAUGUGUGGUUUCGAGAAGUUGCAGGGGUGGCCAGAUUUUCCAAGGAUUUUUCCGACCAUUUUUCGUAGGAUUUUGGACCUCCAAUAGGUACGAUUAUGUUCUAUUCUUCAAGACCUUCAAAUCCAUAUAAAUUUCAUGGAUUUUUGUUGAGAAUUGAAGAAGAUAUUGAACUGUGAAAUUUUUCUAGUUUCCGACGAAACAGACGGCAGCUGGCUGCUGCUCCGGCGAAGCCAACAGAGAAGGAAGAGAAUAUUCCAUCAACUUUGAUGAAAUAUACUAAUGACGUCAGUUAACUCCGUUAUUUUUUAAACAAAAUAUUCUGUUAUUUAACGGAAUAUUCCCUAACACCGUUAGGGAUUUCGUCAGUGUGCCAGACACAUGCCUGCGCAUGGUUGGAGCAUGAGGGCGCGUGUGACGUCCAAAAAUUAUUCUAAAAAUAUGGGGGUGUUCGUGUUGUUGAGUAGAUCACGUUGGUAUAUUCAAACACCCCAUUUGAGUAAAGUAUGAGAAUUUAUUCCUAAGGUUUGUGUAUGUGCUUUAAAAUUAAUGUAAAAUUAGUUAUUUCGCAUAUAGGUGAGACAUACCUUGAGGACGAGCGUGGACAAGUGAGGCUAUGUGGCUACGAUUCUGCUACAUAUCAGUGAGUGUGCAUUUUCUUUCUAUAUAUAUAAUAUGGUUUCCAGAAUAUUUUCUUAAAUGAUUUAUGCUUUGAAUGUCAUGUCGUAAUGAGUUGCACUUUGAGUAUUGCACUGUUAUACUUGUGAAUUAUAUUGUGUGAUGUUGUGGAGACUCGGGUAAGCUUCAGUUAAGUAUGAUGUGAUUGAAUGGGUUGUGUUGCAUUGGUAUGCAUAUAUUUAUUUAGAGCUCAUUAGGGCUGCAUCCGGUAUUAGUGCUCAUGCCCGGGGAUUAGGGCACAACCUUCACGUGAUCGUUCACAUCUUGCACCGCACGUUCACCUUGGAUCCAAGUUUGGUGCCAGCUUGUCGUACAGACCACAAUAGGUGGUUCCGACUCGUAAGUGACCUGUGAUUUAUCGCACAGCCUUCACGUGAUCGUAGCACUUGAGCGUACAUAUUUAUAUCUAGUCUGUCGUACAAGUCACAUCAGGUGAAUCUGACUCGUGUGCUAGCCUAGGUUGAUGAGCUAUAGUCCAGUCGUACAGGUCACAUUAGGUGACUCUGACUGGCAUGUUAUUUUACAUUGAUUCUACACCUGGCUUACAUGAUAUAUACGUUAGGACAUGGCAUAUUUUGGGUUUCACUGCCCUUGUGCGUUGAUUAUAUAUAUAUGUAGUACUAUUUUCUGAAAACUAUACGAGUUUUACAGUGAGGGGUUAUUAUGUUCAGAAAAGAUAAAUGUGUUUUCAAGCGUUUGUUUUUGCCCACUCACCCCUCUGUUUUGCGCCCCUCCAGGUUCUAGGUAGCUGAUCAUCUUUGGUGGCUCACGAGGACUUCACGGUGGUUCUGACAUAUCCAUAAAUAAGUAGGGAUCUUUUCCCUGUUUGUAUAAUUAGCACUUAGUUGGUUUGACUACAUUGUUGGAUUGCCUAUGCUAUGAAUACUUGUAUUUGGUACUUGAUAACUUUCACACACUUAUUUAUUAUCACUAGUUAAAUUAGCUUAGGUGAUUUUUUAUUUAUUCACAUUUACCUAUUACUAUCAUCACUUCUGUUGUGCACUUAGCUACGUCACCCUCAUAUGACAGCCAGCACGUCUUGACUUCGAUCGGGGUGUGUCAUUUUGAACCAAUCCCGACACACCAUGUGUCACUAUCUAUUUACAACCAUUUAGAAUAUAUUUCGAUAAGAUUUUUAACCAAUCAUGUUGUGCCACGUGGCAUUAUCCACAACCUCAUCCUUUCUUUCUUUGUCCAUAUAAACCCUAAAUCCAUCCUAAUUCAUACACCAAACUCAAACUAGCUCAGAAUCCUUCUGCAUAAUUUGUAAAUCUUAAAAUUUUACAAUGUCUUCUUCAAGGAGAUUGUAUGAAAUCGAUGAGCAACAGAAAAAAUUGUUGGCAUAACAAGAAUAAUUGUUCAAUCUCGAGGAUGGUGGAGAUGAAGCGUUCUUCAUGGAAGAGGAUGAGGAUGAGGAUGAUGAACAUAGAAGGCAGAUAGCCUCACAUUCCAGUCGUGUCAUGGAAGCUGUGGGUUAGAUCUCUAAACCCAGACGUACCGCAAACUUGGAUAGAAAGAAGGAAAGAAGAGGUAAAGAUCUCUUGGAAGAUUAUUUCAUCCCCAAUAGUUUAUUCCCUGAUCAUAUUUUUAGACGUUGUUUUAGAAUGCAACGAAGUUUGUUCAACAAAAUCAUGAUUUCUAUUUGCAACCAUGAUCCAUACUUUGUGCAAAAAAAAAAAAAAAAAUGCUUUUCAUGUUCAAGGUCUUCUUUCUGAGCAAAAAAUUAAUGCUGCCUUGCGAAUGCUUGCAUAUGGUGCAUCUGCAGAUCAAGUGGAUGAGAUAGCGAGGAUGAGAAAAUCCACUGUUCUAAAGUCCCAUAUGAGGUUUUGCUCCACAAUCGAAGCCCUCUACAGCAAUGACUACCUCCAGAAAUCCACGACAAUGGACCUGCGAAGGCUUUUGAAGAAGGGUGAGAGGUGAGGCUUUCCUGACAUGAUUGGAAGCAUCACCUGUAUGAACUGGACCUGGAAAAACUCUCUUAUUGAUAUAUAUAUAAUGGAUUAGGAUAUACAGGGUUAGGAUCGGGAACAUAGAUUUUGACACACGUUUUUGUGGAGCUCAGUCCUUAAUAUAUUUCAACGAUCCAACCAAACUAUUUUCUAUAUCUUACCUCAAAGAUCAUGUCUGCUAAAAAUACAUUUUCAAACGGGCUCUAAGCUUGCAAGUCCCUUUGUCAAUUCUUAUAUGAAAUCAAGCCUUGAUUGCCAACCUAAGUGGAAAUUAGUUGACAAGUAUUACGUAGAAGACUUAAAGCCCAUUUGAAAAUGCUUCUUCAGAAAACACUUUUAAAAAUGCUUUUAAUUAUUUUAAAAGCACUUCUAAACAUUAAUAUGUCACUAUGUUAUCUGAAAAUUGAAUUUUUCAAGGGAUUCAAAAUGAAGGAGAUUUCCUGAAAACUAGUGUAUGCGUCCAUUUUAAACCUGGUAUUUGAUUUGAUAAUUCCACUCGGCUCAAGGCUGUUAGGUUGUGGGACGAAAAGGGCCCGCAGUGAGUCAGAUAUAUAAAGACAUGGUACUUGAUUUGUUAGGGGCACCCACAAAAGGAAGCCCCUUCAAAAAUUAAGCGUAUGCCAUUUAAAGCGACGAACACACGGUAUUCUUUAGUAAAAGGCGAAAGAAUAGUUCGCUUUGUGCUCAACGCAUGGCUCCGUGAAUUAUAACAAUCACAUGCUGCCUUUGUUUAUGCUACCGCUACUACAAUACCUCGCUCCUCUGUCGAUGUGGGAAUUAUGCAGCACAGCGCUCAGCUCACGACUCGUGGUUUUAUUUGAACGGUCAACCUACAAAAAGCAUUCGUACGUGUCCAUGAUUCCAUCACAUUUUUUCAUUUCCUCUGGUCCCCUUCAGGUUAAAUCCACUUGUACCUUUUGCUUGUUUUAUCUUUAUCCCCAUCAAAAUCCUCAUCUGUUUUCACAUCAGCUCCCCAGACUAAUGAGAAACGUUGUAAUCUGCCACUAAGGCAUUCAUUUUGAACAGUGAUGAUGGUUGCUCAAGUGUAUUUCAUUCAGUUUGAAUAAACUCUGAGCUUGCUAGUUCUUUGUUCAAACUCCAUACCAUACCAGGUAGCAAUAGGUUGUGUUUGAGUUCAUCAUUUAUAUAUGCGUCAUGUUUGAACUCAAAGUUGAUCAACAUGCAAAACUCUAAGCUUGCCAGUCCCUUUUAUAAACUCCAUACCUUAAUGGGUAGCAAUGGGUCACGUUAAAGUUUGCCGUUCACAUCUAUGUUGUGUUUGUGUCAAUACAUUCUUUAAAAAAAAAUAUAAAAAAAGCCGU